rnacentral:SRP_RNA from 1 species
CCGUGCAGCUGGGGAGUUAGCGGUGCCCUGUACCUGCAAUCCGCUACAGCAGGAGUGAUGUCAUGCCCCGGAUUUGUUUUUGUAGAGCUGCCCUUUAUAAGUGGCGUUGACGUUCUGGUCUCGCGCAACAGGAAUCUGUGAACCGUGUCAGGUCGGGAACGAAGCAGCACUAAGCAGAGUGCCCUGUGUGCCGUGAGGGUGCUGGGACUGAGUUAACUGUAAAGGUAACGUCUGUGGAACUUUUUCAAAGCAUGAUGCACGG